rnacentral:rRNA from 1 species
ACACGACUACAUUAGAUACCCCCGGUAGUCCUAGCCGUAAACGAUACUCGCUAGGUGUCGGCCACGGUGCGACCGUUGUCGGUGCCGUAGGGAAGCCGUGAAGCGAGCCACCUGGGAAGUACGGCCGCAAGGCUGAAACUUAAAGGAAUUGGCGGGGAGCACCACAACGGGUGGAGCUUGCGGUUUAAUUGGAUUCAACGCCAGGAAGCUCACCGGAUAAGACAGCGGAAUGAUUGCCGGGCUGAAGACCCUGCAUGACCAGCUG